rnacentral:lncRNA from 1 species
GUGGGAGCAGGCGUGGAGGUUAGGGGCGUUCGUCCUGCCUCGAGUGGGCAGGUGUCCCGGCUCAAGGCAGGCCCAGAGGGACCGCCGAGAUCAUCCAGUGCAACCCCUGCACUUACCAAGGAGAAAGUCCAUGCAGGCAUUUUCUCUGGAGUGUGAACCUCGCACGGGACCUGCCAGGGGAGGCAUGUGUGUACACCUACGCAUGCUGUCUCCUGGAGCUUCAAGAUGCUGUCUCUUGGCGUUGGACUCAGGCCUCCCUCCCGUUGCUGAAGCAGAAUCAAGAAACCUCAGGUCAAGGAGCUGGAGCCCUUCUGAAUUCUGAACCCAGGAAGAGAAGAGGGGGUCAUGAGACAAAAAGAAGGUCACUGAAAAAGAAGGACAUAGGGACAGAGGCUAUAGAGAGGCUUGGCUGUGACAGAUUGUCAGGGAGAAGGGGAGAGACUUUUGUUUUGAUGUUGUUUUCAAACAACAGCAGUUACCUGGAAAGAAACCAACCACUACCAACUAUAGCCUAAAUAUAAAGUGACUGAGGAAGCAUAAGAAAUGUGUCUCAAGCGAUGCAAAGCUGUGCGUGUAUCAACAUGAGCAAACUAAUUCAGAUGGGCAUGCAGAACACAAAUGGGAGGGGUGAUGGG